CCUACGGGGUGCAGCAGUGGGGAAUAUUGCACAAUGGGGGAAACCCUGAUGCAGCGACGCCGCGUGAGCGAGGAAGUAUUUCGGUAUGUAAAGCUCUAUCAGCAGGGACGAAAGAAGACGGUACCUGACUAAGAACCCCCUGCAAACUACGUGCCAGCAGACGCGGUAAUACUAAGGGGGCAAGCGUUAUGCCGGUUUACUGGGUGUAAAGGUAGCGUAGACGGCAAGGCAAGCCAGAAGUGAAAAGGCAGGGCUCAAACCUGUACAUGCUUUUGAAACUGUGGUGCUAGAGUGCAGGAGAGGUAAGUGGAAUUCCUAGUGUAGCGGUGAAAUGCGUAGAUAUUAGGAGGAACACCAGUGGCGAAGGCGGCUUACUGGACUGUAACUGACGUUGAGGCUCGAAAGCGUGGGGAGCAAACAGGAUUAGAUACCCGUGUAGUC
rnacentral:rRNA from 1 species